rnacentral:rRNA from 1 species
UGCCAGCCGCCGCGGUAAUACAGAGGGUGCAAGCGUUAAUCGGAAUUACUGGGCGUAAAGGGCGCGUAGGCGGUUAUUUAAGUUAGAUGUGAAAUCCCUGGGCUUAACCUAGGAACUGCAUUUAAUACUGGGUAACUAGAGUAUUGUAGAGGGUAGUGGAAUUUCCGGUGUAGCGGUGAAAUGCGUAGAGAUCGGAAGGAACACCAGUGGCGAAGGCGGCUACCUGGACAAAUACUGACGCUGAGGCGCGAAAGCGUGGGGAGCAAACAGGAUUAGAUA